rnacentral:rRNA from 1 species
GAUGAACGCUGGCGGCGUGCCUAAUACAUGCAAGUCGAGCGAACAGACGAGGAGCUUGCUCCUCUGACGUUAGCGGCGGACGGGUGAGUAACACGUGGAUAACCUACCUAUAAGACUGGGAUAACUUCGGGAAACCGGAGCUAAUACCGGAUAAUAUAUUGAACCGCAUGGUUCAAUAGUGAAAGACGGUUUUGCUGUCACUUAUAGAUGGAUCCGCGCCGCAUUAGCUAGUUGGUAAGGUAACGGCUUACCAAGGCGACGAUGCGUAGCCGACCUGAGAGGGUGAUCGGCCACACUGGAACGGAGACACGGUCCAGACUCCUAAGGGAGGCAGCAGUAGGGAAUCUUCCGCAAUGGGCGAAAGCAUGACGGAGCAACGCCGAGUGAGUGAUGAAGGUCUUCGGAUCGUAAAACUCUGUUAUUAGGGAAGAACAAAUGUGUAAGUAACUAUGCACGUCGUGACGGUACCUAAUCAGAAAGCCACGGCUAACUACGUG